rnacentral:rRNA from 1 species
CAAUAGCGUAUAUUAAAGUUGUUGCAGUUAAAAAGCUCGUAGUUGGAUUUCUGUGAGAGUGCCGGUGUCGGCUGAUGCUUGUACACUGGCGCUCUUACAUCCUUCUGUUAACCGUUCUUGGCAUUAAUUUGCUGGUUCGGGGCACAGAUAUUUUACCUUGAGAAAAUUAGAGUGUUUCAGGCAGGCUUAUGCCGGAAUACAUUAGUAUGGAAUAAUGGAACAGGACCUGUGCGUCUUUCGGGGCGCCGGUCUCCGUUAUUGGUUUCGGGGACUAAAGUAAUGAUUAAUAGGGAUAGUUGGGGGCAUUAGUAUUUAAUAGUCAGAGGUGAAAUUCUCGGAUUUGUUAAAGACUAACUUAUGCGAAAGCAUUUGCCAAGGAUGUUUUCAUUAA